rnacentral:miRNA from 1 species
GGGGUGGGGGACGUUUGCCGGUCACUGCUGCUGGCGCCCUGACUGUUGCCGUCCUCCAGCCCCACUCAAAGGCAUCCC